rnacentral:lncRNA from 1 species
UUUGGCGAAUUGGCGUCGUUGGGAAGUCGGCAUUCCAGUAUUUUGAUUAUCAUUUUCAUUUAAUUUUGACCUCGGGUUUAUAUGUUUGUACCUAAUCUUACAGGAGAAAAUGGAGAUUUGUGGUUUGAUCCUGAGAUUGAAGCGAACACAAGGUGAAUGAGAGCAGAAGUUAGGAGAGGUCGAGGCAGAGGAGUCGUUAGGACAUUUGUUCAAACCGUCCCAACAACAUGAGCACG